rnacentral:tRNA from 1 species
UCUUCAGUGGUCCAGUGGUUAAGAUGCUGUGCUUCGACUGCAGAGACUGCAGGUUUAAUCCCUGCUCAGGGAA